CAUUUGUUCAUGCUUCUUA
rnacentral:miRNA from 1 species